GCGUAAAAAAUGACGACAUAUUAACUUUAUGUGUCAAAUAUCAUGACAAAAGUACGAUUUUGGUCCUUAUUUUAAACCUGACCCGUACUUUGACAUGACAGCUGACCCAUAGAAUUAAAAUGGCGCAUGAGAUGAUGGUGGGUUUCUACGGACUAUACCUAUGCUGCUAAUUUAGGCCU